CCGUAGCUGGUUUGAGAGGACGACCAGCCACACUGAUUCGAGACGGCCCAGACUCCACAGGCAGUGGGGAAUUGGACAAUGGGGAAACCGAUCCAGCCAUCCCGCGUGUGCGAUGAAGGCCUUCGGGUUAAAGCACUUUUGGCAGGAGAAGAAACGGCACGGAUAGUCACCUUGUGCAACUGACUUGGUAUCUUCGCGUGAAUAAGCACCGGCUAACCACGCGCCAGCAGCUGCGUGGUAAUACGUAGGGUGCAAGCGUUAAUCGGAAUUACCGGGCGGGAAGCGCGGUGCGCAGGCGGUUCGGAAAGAAAGAUGUGAAAUCCCAGAGCUUAACUUUGAACUGUAUUUUUAACUGUUUAGAGUGUGCUCGAGGGAGGGAAUUCCGCGUGUAGCAGUGAAAUGCGUAGAUAUGCGGAGGAACACCGAUGGCGAAGGCACUCCUGGGAUAACACUGACGCUCAUGCACGAAAGCGUGGGGAGCAAACAGGAUUAGAUACCCCGGUAGUCCACGCCCUAACGAUGUCAACUAGCUGUUGGGGCCUUUCGGGCCGGUAGCGCAGCUAAUUGCGUGAAGUUAAUCGCCUGGGGAGUACGGUCGCAAGAUUAAAACUCAUGGAAUUGACGGGGGACCGGCACAAGCGAAAAUGAUGAUGCGACGACCUGAUGCAACGCGAAAAACCUACCUACCUUUGACAUGUCUGGAAUCCCGAAGAGAUUUGGGAGUGCUCGCAAGAGAACCGGAACACAGGUGCUGCAUGGCUGUCGUCAGCUCGUGUCGUGAGAUGUUGGGUUAAGUCCCGCAACGAGCGUAACCCCGUCAUUAGUUGCUACGAAAGGGCACUCUAUCGAGACUGCCGGUGACAAACUGAGUGAAGGUGGGGAUGACGUCAAGUCCUCAUGGCCCUUAUGGGUAGGGCUUCACACGUCAUACAAUGGUCGGGACAGAGGGUCGCCAACCCGCGAGGGGGAGCCAAUCCCAGAAACCCGAUCGUAGUCCGAUCGCACUGCAACUCGACUGCGUGAAGUCGGAAUCGCUAGUAAUCGCGGAUCAGCAUGUCGCGGUGAAUACGUUCCCGGGUCUUGUACACACCGCCCGUCACACCAUGGGAGUGGGUUUUACCAGAAGUAGUUAGCCUAACCGUAAGGAGGGCGAUUACCACGGUAGGAUUCAUGACUGGGGUGAAGUCGUAACAAGGUAG
rnacentral:misc_RNA from 1 species